rnacentral:rRNA from 1 species
UAGCCUACGGGAGGCAGCAGUGAGGAAUAUUGGUCAAUGGGCUUACGCCUGAACCAGCCAAGUCGCGUGAGGGAAGACUGCCCUAUGGGUUGUAAACCUCUUUUGUCAGGGAGCAACGCCGGCUACGUGUAGCCGGACUGAGAGUACCUGAAGAAAAAGCAUCGGCUAACUCCGUGCCAGCAGCCGCGGUAAUACGUAGGUGGCAAGCGUUAUCCGGAUUUAUUGGGUGUAAAGGGUGCGUAGGUUGUUUUAUAAGUUAGCGGUGAAAUACCGAUGCUCAACAUAGG